rnacentral:rRNA from 1 species
GACGAGGGAUCCUAGCGUUGUUCGGAAUCAUUGGGCGUAAAGCGGGUGUAGGUGGCUUUGUAAGUCGGGUGUGAAAUCCCAGGGCUCAACCCUGGACGUGCAUUCGAUACUGCUAAGCUUGAGUGUGGGAGAGGUCACUAGAAUUCCAGGUGUAGUGGUGAAAUACGUAGAUAUCUGGAGGAAUACCGGUGGCGAAGGCGGGUGACUGGCCCAACACUGACACUGAUGCCCGAAAGCGUGGGGAUCAAACAGG